CUAUAUGAUUUAAAAAAUAAAUAAAUUCUAUAUUUAUUUUACAAAAAAAUGAUAGAAAAGAGGUAAUACAAAUUCAUGAAAAUCUAUAUCAAUCUAAAAAAGUUAUGAUCAAAUUUUAUAAGUCGAUGUAUAUAAAUUUUCACAAUCCACAUUAUUUUUUAAAAUUUAUCAACUUUCAAAAUUCACAAACUCUACACAAAUUCAUCUUCCAGUAACCUCCCGUUAUAAUAUUUUCUAAAAAAUGUGUUUAUGAUAUUAAAACUAAAUGUUUAAUUUCUUCUCUAUGAUAUUAGCUCAUCACAAAGUUACAAAACCACUAAAAUUGUGCAAUUUUAUACUGAAGACAUGAAAUUCUACCAAAAUAAAUAUUUUAAUUUCAGUGACAAAAUUUAUAACAAAUGCAUGGUUCCUUUCAAACAUCACAUAUUA
rnacentral:lncRNA from 1 species